GCAGUCGACGGAACGAUAGAGAGCUUGCUCUCUAGGCGUCGAGUGGCGGACGGGUGAGUAAUGCAUGGGAAUCUGCCUAUUAGUGGGGGAUAACACGGGGAAACUCGUGCUAAUACCGCAUACGCUUUUAGAAGGAAAGCAGGGGAUCUUCGGACCUUGUGCUAAUAGAUGAGCCCAUGUCGGAUUAGCUAGUUGGUAGGGUAAAGGCUUACCAAGGCGACGAUCCGUAGCUGGUUUGAGAGGAUGAUCAGCCACAUCGGGACUGAGACACGGCCCGAACUCCUACGGGAGGCAGCAGUGGGGAAUAUUGGACAAUGGGGGCAACCCUGAUCCAGCAAUGCCGCGUGUGUGAAGAAGGCCUUCGGGUUGUAAAGCACUUUCAAUAGCGAGGAAACGGGUAAGGUUAAUACCCUUAUCAAUUGACGUUAACUAUAGAAGAAGCACCGGCUAACUCCGUGCCAGCAGCCGCGGUAAUACGGAGGGUGCAAGCGUUAAUCGGAAUUACUGGGCGUAAAGCGCACGCAGGCGGAUGCCUAAGUCAGAUGUGAAAGCCCCGGGCUUAACCUGGGAACUGCAUUUGAUACUGGGCAUCUUGAGUAUGGUAGAGGUAAGCGGAAUUUCCAGUGUAGCAGUGAAAUGCGUAGAGAUUGGAAGGAAUAUCGAUGGCGAAGGCAGCUUACUGGGCCAAUACUGACGCUCAUGUGCGAAAGUGUGGGUAGCGAACGGGAUUAGAUACCCUGGUA
rnacentral:rRNA from 1 species